AACGAACGCUGGCGGCAGGCCUAACACAUGCAAGUCGAACGCCGUAGCAAUACGGAGUGGCAGACGGGUGAGUAACACGUGGGAACGUACCUCGGUUCGGGAUAACUCAGGGAAACUUGAGCUAAUACCGGAUACGUCCGAGAGGAGAAAGAUUUAUCGCCGAGGGAUCGGCCCGCGUCUGAUUAGCUUGUUGGUGAGGUAACGGCUCACCAAGGCGACGAUCAGUAGCUGGUCNGAGAGGAUGAUCAGCCACAUUGGGACUGAGACACGGCCCAAACUCCUACGGGAGGCAGCAGUGGGGAAUAUUGGACAAUGGGCGCAAGCCUGAUCCAGCCAUGCCGCGUGAGUGAUGAAGGCCCUAGGGUUGUAAAGCUCUUUGUGCGGGAAGAUAAUGACGGUACCGCAAGAAUAA
rnacentral:rRNA from 1 species